GUCUACGGCCGUAUCACCCUGAACACGCCCAAUCUCAUCUGAUCUCAGAAGCUAAGCAGGGUCGGGCCUGGUUAGUACUUGGGUUGGAGAAAACGAUUGCCAAACUUC
rnacentral:rRNA from 1 species